rnacentral:rRNA from 1 species
GACAGAGGGUGCAAACGUUGUUCGGAAUUACUGGGCGUAAAGCGCGUGUAGGCGGCUUGGCAAGUCGGGUGUGAAAGCCCUGGGCUCAACCUAGGAAGUGCACUCGAAACUGCUGAGCUGGAGUUCUGGAGAGGAAGGCGGAAUUCUCGGUGUAGAGGUGAAAUUCGUAGAUAUCGAGAGGAACACCGGUGGCGAAGGCGGCGAUCUGGACGAUGACUGACGCUGAGACGCGAAAGCGUGGGGAGCAAACAGG